AUGGGUAGCAGGCUGGGCCGCCGCGUGCUCCACUUCGCCAACCUCCCCAUCAAGCUCAUGCUCCCCCCAGCGCCCCUAUCCUCCGUCCAGGAGUUUGCUGUCAGGACCGUCCCCUCCGCCUCCAAGGUCGACAUCCGCCGCUGUCUCGAGUCCGUCUACGGCUUCAACAUCGCCGAAGUCCGCACCCUCAACAUGGAGGGCAAGAAGCACCGCCGGGGGCCCUUCCUCGCCGCCAAGCCAGACUACAAGAAGGCCUACGUCACUCUUCAGGCCCCGCUCUCCGUUUCCCCCGACAUCUUCCCCAUCGGCGCGAUCCUCGGGGAGAGGGAGCGGAAGGCCAGCGCAGCCGCCGCGAGGAGGAAGGUCGUGGAAGGGGCAGAGGUCGAGGGGGAGAGGGAGGGGAAGGGGAAGCAUUGGAUGGAGGACGAGAGGGAGGGCUUCUCCAGGGCCGGAUGCGGCAAGAUCGUGUAUGGGAACCCUGGGAGGUUGGGGAACAAGAGGAGGGGACGUGCCAGGGCGAAUGAGCAAGCUGACGAAAAGGGGGGAAACUUCCCGUGGAACGGGAUGGGGCUGGCUACCGAGAAACCUGCUAGGAAAAGACACUAUCCUCCCAAGGCACAGGGAGGCAUGGUCUUGAAGCAGAGAUCACACAGGGGAUCAGCGCUGCGUGGAAAGAGUUGA
rnacentral:rRNA from 1 species